rnacentral:rRNA from 1 species
AACGAACGCUGGCGGCAGGCCUAACACAUGCAAGUCGAGCGAACCCUUCGGGGUUAGCGGCGGACGGGUUAGUAACGCGUGGGAAUAUACCCUUUGGUACGGAAUAGCCUCGGGAAACUGAGAGUAAUACCGUAUGUGCCCUUCGGGGAAGGAUUUAUCGCCAAAGGAUUAGCCCGCGUUGGAUUAGAUAGUUGGUGGGGUAAUGGCCUACCAAGUCUACGAUCCAUAGCUGGUUUGAGAGGAUGAUCAGCAACACUGGGACUGAGACACGGCCCAGACUCCUACGGGAGGCAGCAGUGGGGAAUCUUAGACAAUGGGCGCAAGCCUGAUCUAGCCAUGCCGCGUGUGUGAAGAAAGGCCUGCGGGGUUGUAAAGACACUUUUGUUUCGGGAAGGAAAUACAUGUCGGUUAAUUACCCG